GGAUAUAGCUCAACAGCAUAGCACCUGCCUGGCAAGCACGGUGCCCUGAGUUUAAUUCUCAGUACCA
rnacentral:tRNA from 1 species